rnacentral:rRNA from 1 species
UUCCGGUUGAUCCUGCCGGAGGUCAUUGCUAUUGGAGUCCGAUUUAGCCAAGCUAGUCGUACGGGUUCAGACCCGUGGCGAAUAGCUCCGUAACACGUGGCCAAUCUACCCUUCGGAGAGCCAUACCCUCGGGAAACUGAGGCUAAUAGCUCAUAGGUGUCCCGAGCUGGAAUGCUGGGACCCCGAAACGCUCCGGCGCCGAAGGAUGAGGCUGCGGCCGAUUAGGUCGACGGUGGGGUAACGGCCCACCGUGCCGAUAAUCGGUACGGGUUGUGAGAGCGAGAGCCCGGAGACGGAAUCUGAGACAAGAUUCCAGGCCCUACGGGGCGCAGCAGGCGCGAAACCUUUACACUGCACGACAGUGCGAUAAGGGGACCCCGAGUGCGAGGGCAUACAGUCCUCGCUUUUGUGUACCGUAGGGAGGUACACGAAUAAGAGCUGGGCAAGACCGGUGCCAGCCGCCGCGGUAAUACCGGCAGCUCAAGUGAUGGCCGCUAUUAUUGGGCCUAAAGCGUCCGUAGCCGGCCGCACAAGUCCGUCGGGAAAUCCACCCGCCUAACGGGUGGGCGUCCGGCGGAAACUGUGCGGCUUGGGACCGGAAGACUCGAGGGGUACGUCCGGGGUAGGAGUGAAAUCCCGUAAUCCUGGACGGACCGCCGGUGGCGAAAGCGCCUCGAGAGGACGGAUCCGACGGUGAGGGACGAAAGCUAGGGUCUCGAACCGGAUUAGAUACCCGGGUAGUCCUAGCCGUAAACGAUGCUCGCUAGGUGUGGCGCAGGCUACGAGCCUGCGCUGUGCCGUAGGGAAGCCGUGAAGCGAGCCGCCUGGGAAGUACGUCCGCAAGGAUGAAACUUAAAGGAAUUGGCGGGGGAGCACUACAACCGGAGGAGCCUGCGGUUUAAUUGGAUUCAACGCCGGA